rnacentral:misc_RNA from 1 species
GAUGAAGAACGUAGCGAAACGCGAUAUGUAAUGUGAAUUGCAGAAUUCAGUGAAUCAUCGAAUCUUUGAACGCACAUUGCGCCCUUUGGUAUUCCUUAGGGCAUGCCUGUUCGAGCGUCAUUUGAAACCUCAAGCUCAGCUUGGUGUUGGGUGUCUGUCCCCGCCUCACCGCGGGGACUCGCCUCAAAAUCAUUGGCGGCCGGUACGUUGGCUUCGAGCGCAGCAGAAACGCGAACUCGAGGCCCGGCGGAUCGGCGACCAGAAGUCACUUCUUCACAGUUUGACCUCGGAUCAGGUAGGGAUACCCGCUGAACUUAAGCAUAUCAAUAAGCGGAGGA